CCCAACUAUCCCUAUUAAUCAUUACGUCAAUCCUAGAAACCAACAAAAUAGGAUCAAACGUCCUAUUUCAUUAUUCCAUGCUAAUGUAUUCAAGCGCAAGCCUGCUUUAAACACUCUAAUUUUUUCAAAGUAACAGUCCUGAUUCCCCGCAACACCAACUGAAUGGCAUUACGGUUCUUCAGAAGGGAGGAAUCAGUGACACCAGUGCAUACCGAAGGCACGACCAGCGUACUGAUCCCGAAAUUCAACUACGAGCUUUUUAACUGCAACAACUUUAAUAUACGCUAUUGGAGCUGGAAUUACCGCGGCUGCUGGCACCAGACUUGCCCCUCC
rnacentral:misc_RNA from 1 species